rnacentral:rRNA from 1 species
CAGUCGCCGCGGUAAUACGAAGGGGGCUAGCGUUGUUCGGAAUUACUGGGCGUAAAGCGCACGUAGGCGGAUAUUUAAGUCAGGGGUGAAAUCCCAGAGCUCAACUCCGGAACUGCCUUUGAUACUGGGUAUCUUGAGUAUGGAAGAGGUGAGUGGAAUUCCGAGUGUAGAGGUGAAAUUCGUAGAUAUUCGGAGGAACACCAGUGGCGAAGGCGGCUCACUGGUCCAUUACUGACGCUGAGGUGCGAAAGCGUGGGGAGCAAACAGGAUUAGAUACCCCAGUAGUCCCUGUCUCUUAUAC